UUCGACCUCUGUCCUGCUUAUUCUGUGCACGGUUCACCCUUCAAGUACUGUAUACACUUCACGUUACUGCAAGUACUAAGCUAAGACACUUUGUAACUUCUUACACUGAAAUGUCUUCUGCAUAUCACUGGGAAGGGCGCCGCCGGCAAUGGAUUAUCGACAAGAAAAUUCAUACGCAGCAGGAUGAACUUAUAAAAAGGAAUCAUUCUAAUCAACCGAAGACUUACAAAGAGGUUCCACAGCCUGAAAUGUCACCCAGUACUGAGAACCCUGGUUUUAAACCUAUUAGAAGAUAUACUUCCACCGACUACAAUCAACAAUGGUGAAAGAAUGGAUUAGGCACCAUAAUCUCAAGAUAUAAAAGAACCUUUCCUUCAGCUGUGAAAUGUACUGUCAUUAUCAAUAUAUUUCUGUGCAUAGUACAAUGAAGUGAAAUAGUAUAUAUUGUUAGAUUUUGGCAUUUUAAACAAAAUGUCAUUCUGUGAAGCACAAGUUUUAAAAUCUUUCCAACUAUGUUUGUUAUUUGCUAACCUCUAAAACAAUGCUGUAUCACUUCUCCUUUUAAGGAGCUAUUUAAAUUAUGUUGAACUUAAU